GCCGGGCGCGGUGGCGCGUGCCUGUAGUCCCGGCUACUCGGGAGGCUGAGGCUGGAGAAUCCCUUGAGCCCAGGAGUUCUGGGCUGUAGUGCGCUAUGCUGAUCGGGUGUCCGCACUAAGUUCGGCAUCAAUUUGGUGACGUCCCGGGAGCGGGGGACCACCAGGUUGCCUGAGGAGGGGUGAACCGGCCCAGGUAGGAAAUGGAGCAGGUCAAAACUCCUGUGCUGAUCAGUAGUGGGAUCGCACCUGUGAAUAGCCACUGCACUCCAGCCUGGGCAACAUAGUGAGACCCUGCCUCU
rnacentral:SRP_RNA from 1 species